UAAUACGGAGGGGGCUAGCGUUGUUCGGAAUUACUGGGCGUAAAGCGCGCGUAGGCGGUUCCAGCAGUCGGGCGUGAAAGCCCCGGGCUCAACCCGGGAAUAGCGCACGAUACUUUGGAGCUAGAGUCCGGGAGAGGAGAGUGGAAUUCCCAGUGUAGAGGUGAAAUUCGUAGAUAUUGGGAAGAACACCGGUGGCGAAGGCGGCUCUCUGGACCGGUACUGACGCUCUGGCGCGAAAGCGUGGGGAGCAAACAGG
rnacentral:rRNA from 1 species